UCUACCCCCAGGGACUUAGAUAAUGACAGGCACUUCUGCUUCGCCCCAAAUGUUGCGUGUUCCAAGACCACCAUGGCCCACCACGACCCCAUCCUGGGCCUGUAAAAACUUGAGACCCAGCAAGGCAGAGACAGAAGCUACUGAACAGUGAGAGGAACACAUCAGCCAAAGAAGACAAGCGGCUGAACAUUGAGAGGAAGUCGAGGGAGCACGCCAUAGGAGGCCAGCAGGCUUGCAAGCCAUUGACUGACUGACUGAAGGGAAGACGCGGAGUGUGGCUGCAGCAGUCCGAGGAGAGCUGGGGCCGCCAGGCGACCCAAGUCCAGGGGAAGACCAUCUCCCUUCCGGCUCCCCCAUCGGCUGAGAGCUACUUCCACUCAGUAAAACUUUACAUUCAUUCUGCAAGCCCACUUGUGUUCCUAUUCUUCCGGUACACCAAGGCAAGAACCCGGGAUACAGAAAGCCCUCUGUCCUUACAACAAGGUAGAGGGUCUAAUUGAGCUGGUUAACACAAGACACUUAUAGACGGUAAACUAAAAGAGCACCUUGUAACACCCACUAGGGCUUCAGCUGUAAACAUUUACCCUCGACACUGCCUUGGGGUCGGAGCCCCACAGCCUGCCCUUCUGUAUGCUCCCCUAGAGGUCUGAGCAGCAGGGCACUGAAGAAGUGAGCCACAUCCCCAUCGCACGCCCAGCGAGGGGUACAAGGGAACCUUUCCCAUUUCAACUGGGGACCUCUCCUGGGAUCUUGGAAGGGUCCAGCUCUGUUACCCAUGCUAGAGUGCAUUGCACAAUCAUGGCUCACUGUGGCCUCGAACUCCUGGGUUCAAAUGAUCCUCCCACUUCAGCCUCUGGAUCAGCUAGGACUAUAGGUUUUUAUGUUCUAAUUAAUUCUAAA
rnacentral:lncRNA from 1 species